UUGCACGCUGGCGGCAGGCCUAACACAUGCAAGUCGAGCGGAUGAAGGGAGCUUGCUCCUGGAUUCAGCGGCGGACGGGUGAGUAAUGCCUAGGAAUCUGCCUGGUAGUGGGGGAUAACGUCCGGAAACGGGCGCUAAUACCGCAUACGUCCUGAGGGAGAAAGUGGGGGAUCUUCGGACCUCACGCUAUCAGAUGAGCCUAGGUCGGAUUAGCUAGUUGGUGGGGUAAAGGCCUACCAAGGCGACGAUCCGUAACUGGUCUGAGAGGAUGAUCAGUCACCCUGGAACUGAGACCCGGUCCAGACUCCUACGGGAGGCAGCAGUGGGGAAUAUUGGACAAUGGGCGAAAGCCUGAUCCAGCCAUGCCGCGUGUGUGAAGAAGGUCUUCGGAUUGUAAAGCACUUUAAGUUGGGAGGAAGGGCAGUAAGUUAAUACCUUGCUGUUUUGACGUUACCAACAGAAUAAGCACCGGCUAACUUCG
rnacentral:rRNA from 1 species